rnacentral:rRNA from 1 species
GAUGAACGCUGGCGGCGUGCCUAAUACAUGCAAGUCGAACGAGUGGCGGACGGGUGAGUAAUGUCUGGGAAACUGCCUGAUGGAGGGGGAUAACUACUGGACGCGGUCGCUAAUACCGCAUACCAUCGGAUGUGCCCAUAUGGGACUAGCUAGUAGGUGGGGUAACGGCUCACCUAGGCGACGAUCCCUAGCUGGUCUGAGAGGAUGACCAGCCACACUGGAACUGAGACACGGUCCAGACUCCUACGGGAGGCAGCAGGGGGGAAUAUUGCACAAUGGGCGCAAGCCUGAUGCAGCCAUGCCGCGUGUAUGAAGAAGGCCUUAGGGUUGUAAAGUACUUUCAGCGGGGAGGCGUUACCCGCAGAAGAAGCACCGGCUAACUCCGUGCCAGCAGCCGCGGUAAUAC